CCGGCUAUAGGUUAAUGGUAGACUUGUCGCCUUCCAAGCGAUUUGUGUCAGUUCAAAUCUGACUAGCCGGA